GAUCAAGACCAACCGGUGUCGCUCCUCGCGGGCGCGCCGUCGGAUUGAUGACUCUGGAUAACCAUUGCCGAUCGUAUGGCCCUGUGCCGACGACGCAUCUUUCAAAUGUCUGCCCUAUCAACUUUCGUUGGUAGGUGAUCUGCCUACCAAGGUGUUUACGGGUAACGGGGGAUCAGGGUUCGAUCCCGGAGAGGGAGCAUGAGAAACGGCUACCACAUCCAAGGAAGGCAGCAGGCGCGCAAAUUACCCACUCUUGGCACGAGGAGGUAGUGACGAAAAAUAACAAUACGGGACUCUUUCGAGGCCCCGUAAUUGGAAUGAGUACACUCUAAACCCGUUAACGAGGAUCUAUUGGAGGGCAAGUCUGGUGCCAGCAGCCGCGGUAAUUCCAGCUCCAAUAGCGUAUAUUAAAGCUGUUGCAGUUAAAAAGCUCGUAGUCGGAUUUCGGGCGGCGGCCAAUGGUUCGGUUCCGUGCCGAUACUGCUGGUCGCGGCCUCCUCGCCGGUCGUCUUUCGGUGCUCUUAACUGAGUGCCUUAAGUAGCCGGAGCGUUUACUUUGAAAAAAUUAGAGUGUUC
rnacentral:rRNA from 1 species